AGCCGUAGUGUCAAGUCGUCCGUAGUACUCCGUUACUUCGUAAUCGCGCGUGUUUUUAAUUUAAUUGCAAUGCAUUCCAAUAAUAAAAAUACUUCACCUCAAGACCUCAACCUUCCUGACACCUCAAAGAAAAGAACUACAGUGCCGCUCUUACACCUCCUCACAAUAGCAAAAAUAGAUUCUCUCCACUAUUAACUCUACAAGACACAGGUGAAACGAACAAUAUCACAGAAAACGACGGUACUCAGCAACCACAGGCAGUUCGCUGUUAAAAUAAAUGAUAACACCUCAGACCUUAUGCCUAUAUCUGCUGGUGUACCUCAAGGCUCUAAGCUUGGUCCCAUACUAUUUAACAUCUACGUAUAUGAUAUCCCCCAGUCACCUCGUACGAAUAUUGCCCUCUUCGCAGAUAAUACUAUAAUAUUCACCGAAUCACGUAACAUUGAAGCAGUUACCACAAAUCUGCAAGCACAUCUUGAUGAAAUAUCUUAUUGGUGUAAAAAAUGGCGUAUUCAAAUAAAUGCGUCAAAAAGCACAGGUGUUAUUUUCAGCCUUCGUCCUUACCACACCCCUGCACAAUUAACAUUUAACAAUGUAAAUAUACCUUGGCUUGACAUUGGAUAAACGGCUAACAUGGCAGCCCCAUAUCUCAUCCAAACUUCAACUGGCAUAUCAGCGUCUUUCUAUGUUAUACCCUAUUCUCAAUAGAAAAUCUCCAAUACAGAAAAAAUGCUCUCUUCUAAUAUUUAAACAAAUUCUACGUCCACUACUCACUUAUGCGUGUCCGGUCUGGGGGAAAUGUGCGACCACUCACAUCAAUAAAAUUCAAAUUUUUCAAAAUAAAGUGCUACGUAUUAUUGCCAACGCACCUUGGUUUAUAAGGAACGUAAACCUACACAAAGACCUUCAGAUCCAGGAAAUCACAGACCACAUUAAAACCUCAUCAAAAAACUUCCAUACCACACUGCUCAACUCUCCUGGCUCACUUCAC